AUCGUUUGAUGUGUAUAACACAAUUGAAAUAAAUUUCAAGAGAGACGGUGGGAGUUUAGGGACCAUGACUAUUAUAGUCAAUGGAGAACUCAAAUGAAGAAGGCGAAAUAACUCCAAGGGAACAAACUUUCCUAAUGAAAGGAUGGACAUUGGAAGGAGUAUUUGCAAGAAAAGUCUUGCAAGUGUCAAUAACACACCUUUCGAAGGCGUUGUAAAUUGUUCUUGAAUAGUUCAAAACAGUUGGUUCUUCUACUUGAAUGCUUGAUUCAGUAUUAGUAACUAUGUUUUACAAUCGUUUUAAAAGUGUGGCUAAUAAGAAGUAGAAGAUUAAUGAGAAAAGAGAAAGUACUUCACAUUUGGAACGUGAAUCAAAUAUAGAUCUCUGCGAAAGCAGAUAGUACUUACUUCCUCAUAUGAACUACCCAAGAAAAUCGAAAACAAAGAUUGUCCUUACAUUUCAAUUUUAAUAAAGGAACUUAAUUCCUUUAUUAUAAGAGAUGGAUGAAUGUUUUGUUUGACAAAACAUUAUUCUUUAUUAAUGAAUGAUUGGAUUAUUGUAAUCUAAUUGAUUGUCUCUAUAGUAGAGAUGAUGUGGUAGUGUUAAUUGUUUAGAAUAUAACGAUGCUUAAAACCCAAAAGGUUGCAAGGUAGUGACUAAUCCCACUGAGUUGUGACACCUCUAAAACAUAAAUUACAAGUUGGUCAUAGAUGGAUGCUUUGGAUCGUUUGAUCCGGAUCCAAUGCCUUCUUGUUAAAAUUGUAUAGGGCAAAAUGUUCGAAUCUUUAUUCUUUUUGAAAAGAAGAAAGAAUCACAAAGUUGUUGAGUUUAAUUCGCUUAGAUUUUAGUGGCACUUGUCCACAACAUAAUACUACUCAUGUUAUAUGACAUUCACCGAAGAUCGCUCUCGGUUGGACUAUCGUUUAUUUUGAAUAAACAUAUGUCCGAAUACUUUGCAAAAGGUAUCAGAGAAUGCAAGAAUGUAAGUUGAUGAGUAAGACGUCUAAAGUAUUUACCUCCUUAGAUUUGAUCCAAGGAAAAUUGACACUUUAGAUGAGUUUCCUUGAAAGAUAUCAAUGAAAGAAGCAUCAUAAGAUAAUGGAUUUCUCCAUUGGGAGAAGAACGAACUCGAAUAAGAUGUAGUUCGUUGGAUGUUAUCAAUUACCCAUAUAUAGGAUAUAUACUUCUAAGACAAUAUGAUUGUAAAUUAGAAGAUCUUCCAAAAUUUUCAUGACUCCAUAGGAUGUAGUUGGAAAGAAAGACAAGUCUUAAUCGUGUUAAGAUUUGGGGUUGCAUGCUAAUAAGAAAUAUUUGUUUGAGAAC
rnacentral:lncRNA from 1 species